CCUACGGGGGGCAGCAGUGAGGAAUAUUGGUCAAUGGCCGGGAGGCUGAACCAGCCAAGUCGCGUGAGGGAAGACGGCCCUACGGGUUGUAAACCUCUUUUGUCAGGGAGCAAGGUGCAGGUCGGGACCUGCUGUGAGAGUACCUGAAGAAAAAGCAUCGGCUAACUCCGUGCCAGCAGCCGCGGUAAUACGGAGGAUGCGAGCGUUAUCCGGAUUUAUUGGGUUUAAAGGGUGCGCAGGGGGAGGAACAAGUCAGCGGUAAAAUCGCGGGGCUCAACCCCGCUCCGCCGUUGAAACUGUGGCCCUUGAGUGCGGGAAGGGUAGGCGGAAUGCGUGGUGUAGCGGUGAAAUGCAUAGAUAUCACGAAGAACUCCGAUCGCGAAGGCAGCCUACUGGCGCGCAACUGACGCUCAUGCACGAAAGCGUGGGUAUCGAACAGGAUUAGAUACCCGUGUAGUC
rnacentral:rRNA from 1 species